rnacentral:rRNA from 1 species
GACGGAGGAUGCAAGUGUUAUCCGGAAUCACUGGGCGUAAAGCGUGCGCAGUCGGUUAUUUAAGUCGGAUGUGAAACCCCCGGGCUCAACCUGGGAAUUGCAUUCGAUACUGGAUAGCUAGAGUUCGGCAGAGGGAAGUGGAAUUUCAGGUGUAGCGGUGAAAUGCGUAGAUAUCUGAAGGAACAUCAGUGGCGAAAGCGACUUCCUGGACCAGAACUGACGAUCAGGCACGAAAGCGUGGGGAGCAAACAGG